GCGGGAGAGGGCGCUGCCCCGCCGCCCGAGUCGCUGGGCGCCGCGUUUCGCUGACUCUGCCAAACACGCCAUUAGGGCCCGCCCGGGAGGGCGUUAUCCUAAUGGAGCGGCUCUAAGUCACCUUUGAAAGGAAAUCCCCGGCCCGAGUCCUGACCUGCGCCAAGGCCUCGGUGGGCAGUCCGCAGAGGCCAUUCCAGACCUCCCUCCCUGCUCCCCUGGCCUCUGACCCCAUGCGCUUGAAGCGCAGGUCCUGGCCUCCACGGCUCUUCUCACUUUGGCUGGGUGCUGCUUCAUCCCGGUCAGCUGGGAUGGGGCGUCCCCAGAGCGCCCGGAACAGGCCUCCAGAGAGAAGCCACCGGCCAAUAUAGAAAUCGCACAGCGCUGCCAACAUUGGGCGUCUGUUCGGGACAAGCAAGACAGCAAGGGGCUCCAGGUUGAAUGGGGAGGCUUCCAGGCUGCCAUAGCACCACUUCCAGUGCAGAGGAGGCUUCUGAGCUGCUGUACCACUGCUCCCAGCACAGACGAGGUGAGCUGCAAGGGUGCCAGCAGCACAUACACAAACAAACACACCCGUCAAAAUGAGAAGACACCUAAACAAGUCUCAAAACCAGACUUCCAGAUCACCUACAGCAACCUCAAAGGGAAACGAGAUGGAACACUCUGAUACUCAACCACCUGGACUCCCU
ensembl:lncRNA